CCUACGGGAGGCAGCAGUGAGGAAUAUUGGUCAAUGGACGCAAGUCUGAACCAGCCAUGCCGCGUGAAGGAAGACUGCUCUAUGAGUUGUAAACUUCUUUUAUACGAGAGUAAACGCAGUUACGCGUGUCUUUUUGCAUGUACUUUAUGAAUAAGGAUCGGCUAACUCCGUGCCAGCAGCCGCGGUAAUACGGAGGAUUCAAGCGUUAUCCGGAUUUAUUGGGUUUAAAGGGUGCGUAGGCGGUCGGAUAAGUUAGUGGUGAAAGUUCGAGGCUCAACCUCAGAAUUGCCAAUGAUACUGUUAGGCUAGAGAAUAGUUGAGGUAGGCGGAAUGUAUGGUGUAGCGGUGAAAUGCUUAGAGAUCAUGAAGAACCCCGAUUGCGAAGGCAGCUUACUAAGCU
rnacentral:rRNA from 1 species